rnacentral:misc_RNA from 1 species
CGCACAUUGCGCCCCGUGGUAUUCCGCGGGGCAUGCCUGUUCGAGCGUCAUUAGUCCCCUCAAGCCUCGCUUGGUCUUGGGGCCUGCCGGGAGGCAGCCCUUAAACGCAGUGGCGGCGCCGUUGGGCUCUGAGCGUAGUAACUUCUCUCGCUAUAGGGUUCCGACGGAGGCUGGCCAGCAACCCCCUUAUACUCUAGGUUGACCUCGGAUCAGGUAGGGAUACCCGCUGAACUUAA